rnacentral:rRNA from 1 species
UCCGUAGGCGGUGUAGCAAGUCGAUAGUGAAAUCUCUGGGCUUAACCCAGAGGCUGCUAACGAAACUGCUGUGCUAGAGUGUGAGAGAGGCGAGUGGAAUUACGGGUGUAGCGGUGAAAUGCGUAGAUAUCCGUAGGAACAUCCGAGGCGAAGGCGGCUCGCUGGAUCACAACUGACGCUGAGGGACGAAAGCUAGGGGAGCAAACAGGAUUAGAUACCCUGGUAGUCCUAGCCCUAACAUCAGGACUGGGUUUGCCCUGUACGGGCAAGUCCCGUAGCUAACGCGUUAAGUCCUGCGCCUGGGGAGUACGGUCGCAAGGCUGA